rfam:Dipodomys ordii contig_30656, whole genome shotgun sequence.
GGGAAGGUAGCUCAGUGGUAGAGUGCUUGCCUUGCAUGCAUGAGGUCCUGGGUUUGAAUCCUCACCACCACA